rnacentral:rRNA from 1 species
GACGAACGCUGGCGGCGUGCCUAAUACAUGCAAGUAGAACGCUGAAGAGAGGAGCUUGCUCUUCUUGGAUGAGUUGCGAACGGGUGAGUAACGCGUAGGUAACCUGCCUUGUAGCGGGGGAUAACUAUUGGAAACGAUAGCUAAUACCGCAUAACAAUGGAUGACACAUGUCAUUUAUUUGAAAGGGGCAAUUGCUCCACUACAAGAUGGACCUGCGUUGUAUUAGCUAGUAGGUGAGGUAAUGGCUCACCUAGGCGACGAUACAUAGCCGACCUGAGAGGGUGAUCGGCCACACUGGGACUGAGACACGGCCCAGACUCCUACGGGAGGCAGCAGUAGGGAAUCUUCGGCAAUGGGGGCAACCCUGACCGAGCAACGCCGCGUGAGUGAAGAAGGUUUUCGGAUCGUAAAGCUCUGUUGUAAGUCAAGAACGGGUGUGAGAGUGGAAAGUUCACACUGUGACGGUAGCUUACCAGAAAGG